rnacentral:rRNA from 1 species
AGCGACAGAAGAAGCACCGGCUAACUCCGUGCCAGCAGCCGCGGUAAUACGGAGGGUGCGAGCGUUAAUCGGAAUUACUGGGCGUAAAGCGCAUGCAGGUGGUUUGUUAAGUCAGAUGUGAAAGCCCGGGGCGUCAACCUCGGAAUAGCAUUUGUAAACUGGCAGACUAGAGUACUGUAGAGGGGGGUAGGAAUUUCAGGUGUAGCGGUGAAAUGCGUAGAGAUCUGAAGGAAUACCGGUGGCGAAGGCGGCCCCCUGGACAGAUACUGACACUCAGAUGCGAAAGCGUGGGGAGCAAACAGGAUUAGAUACCCUGGUAG